UGAGAACGUGCCCAAAGGUACGGAACAACUCCGGGAAACUGGAGCUAAUACCGUAUGUGCCCGAAAGGGGAAAGAUUCAUCGCCUUUGGAUCGGCCCGCGUCUGAUUAGCUAGUUGGCGGGGUAAUGGCCCACCAAGGCGACGAUCAGUAGCUGGUCUGAGAGGAUGACCAGCCACAUUGGGACUGAGACACGGCCCAGACUCCUACGGGAGGCAG
rnacentral:rRNA from 1 species